CAGCCGCCGCGGUAAUACGGAGGGAGCUAGCGUUGUUCGGAAUUACUGGGCGUAAAGCGCGCGUAGGCGGUUACUCAAGUCAGAGGUGAAAGCCCGGGGCUCAACCCCGGAACUGCCUUUGAAACUAGGUGACUAGAAUCUUGGAGAGGUCAGUGGAAUUCCGAGUGUAGAGGUGAAAUUCGUAGAUAUUCGGAAGAACACCAGUGGCGAAGGCGGCUGACUGGACAAGUAUUGACGCUGAGGUGCGAAAGCGUGGGGAGCAAACAGGAUUAGAUACCCGCGUAGUCCCUGUCUCUUAUAC
rnacentral:rRNA from 1 species